AAUACAUAUUGGCAAACUUAUCGAAAGGUAAGGACGCAAAGCUAUGGAUCUAAAGAUAAAUUAUCUAUGAUUGCCAGGUUGCUGUU
rnacentral:ncRNA from 1 species